UACGUAGGUGGCAAGCGUUGUCCGGAUUUACUGGGUGUAAAGGGCGUGUAGGCGGGAAGACAGGUCAGAUGUGAAAUGUCGGGGCUCAACCCCGGAACUGCAUUUGAAACCGUUUUUCUUGAGUAUCGGAGAGGCAGGCGGAAUUCCUAGUGUAGCGGUGAAAUGCGUAGAUAUUAGGAGGAACACCAGUGGCGAAGGCGGCCUGCUGGACGACAACUGACGCUGAGGCGCGAAAGCGUGGGGAGCAAACAGG
rnacentral:rRNA from 2 species